AGUCAAGGGAGGAAGUUCCUGGAGAAGUAGAAGUACUGCGUGGUUAGCGUCCGGUCACUCUUCAGAGCAGCCUUGUACUUACUACGUUUCAGUGUCUCUCCUUGCAGCUUUUCGUAACUUUAACGAACUAUGCUCCUUUCGUGUCUCAGUUUCUAUAUCUGUUUCGCCAAGCGCCGCUCGGAAGGGUUAAUUCAGGAGCGAGCCCUACUGGAAAAGGCGGCUUUGUGUGGAAGUUUGCACCUGGGAGGUGAGAGCUGGACGGAACGUUAAAGAGCCCUGAAGGCUUAACUCUACGCUUCUGAGGUUAAAAAAGAGAGAGAGAGAAAGAAACGGCUCCAGAAAGAGGCGGAUGACACCCCAGGUUACAUGGCAAAAAAGUGACUAAACUGAGAACUCAGGGCACCAAUCUCCCAGUUUCCCCAUUGAGAUUUCAUCCUGUUACAUUUCCCGGCAUCACCUUGUUCUUGCUUUGAACCCUUGCGACUUUUUUUUUGUAGAUGGAAAAGAUUCUUUUAGUUGGUAUUUGGAGACAUCUAGUGAAAGAAUAUGAAAGCAAAGGUCGAGUCCGCAAGUUCUGGUAGUUCGUGGAAUUAAAAAGUGAGCAUGAUUAGAGUUUACAGCUAAAAAUCCUUGGACUUGGAUCUGAAAUUUGCGAAGGUGCUACAAUUUGAUCAGGAGAGUGGGUAAAAUUAAUACUUGCAUUAUUGUUUUAAUUAUUUGUAGCUCUUUUUACUCUAAACGCUGACAUUUUUUUUUAAGGAAUGAAAAAAUGCGCCUUUAGAUAUUUUGAAAGGAUGUUAUUUCAGUAUAUGAGUUAAUAUAUUCCGUGCAGCAGAAUCUUUAUUUGAAAGCACGCUUAUGGAUAAAGGUUAGUCUUUAGUUCACUUACUGAUUCCAUCUGCUCCAUUACCUAGUCUUGCUUAAGUUCUAAGUGCUUAAAAAACUCAUAAGCAGUUUACAGCUCUGCACUUUGCAGCUGUUCGAUCUUUUCCAAAUUCAACAUAUGCAGAUUUUCAGGUUGGCUAUGUGAAGCUAAGUACCACCAAACAUAAUGUUCUACAACAUGGGAAGUAUUUCUGUAAUAGUUAAUGGACUUUAUUAAGUGGGUUGCUUUAGUUUUCCCAGAGCCACCAUUUCUUUUCCACUAUGAAGGGCGGUUUAUAUAAAAAUAGUAUCUUGGAGUUCCCAUAGUGGCUCCAGGAAUGAAUCUGACUAGCAUCCAUGAAGACUCAGGAUCCCUGGCCUUGCUCACUGGGUUGAGGAUCCAGCAUUGGCACUCACAUCCUGAGUUGCUGUGGCAGUGGCAUAGGCCAAGCCACAGCAACGCGGGAUCCGAGCCGCGUCUGCAACCUACACCACAGCUCACGGCAACGCCGGAUCGUUAACCCACUGAGCAAGGGCAGGGACCGAACCCGCAACCCCAUGGUUCCUAGUCGGAUUCGUUAACCACUGCGCCACGACUGGAACUCCUGAAUGAUUUCUUUUUUCUUUUUUUUUUUUUGUCUUUUUGCCAUUUCUAGGGCCGCUCCCUCGGCAUAUGGAGGUUUCCAGGCUAGGGGUCUAAUCUGAGCUGUAGCCGCUGGCCUACACCAGAGCCACAGCAACGCCAGAUCCAAGCCGCAUCUGCAACCUACACCACAGCUCAUGGCAACACUGGAUCCUUAACUCACUGAGCAAGGCCAGGAAUCGAACUGCAACCUCAUGGUUCCUAGUUGGAUUUGUUAACCACUGAGCCACGACGGGAACUCCUUGAAUUAUUUCUGAGUUGAAAAUACAUAUAUAUUUAAAAGUUUAAGUCUUAUUUAUUUAUUUAUUUAUUUGGCCAUGCUUGCAGCAUACAGAAGUUCACAGGCCUGGAGCCACAGCAGUGACUGCAAGAUCCUUAACCUACUAGGCUGCCAGGGAACUCUCCAAAUUUUAAAUUUUUAUGUGGAUAGUGAUAAAUAUAUGUAAAAUGUAUAAAGUGAAACUUGAUAAGAUUAUAAAGAAAAAUGUAUGUGGCCAUAUUAGGUGAUUUUAACAAGCCUUUCCCAGUGAUUAAGACAAGCAAAAAAAAAAAAAAAAUCAUCAUGGACUUGGAGAAUAGACUUGUGGCUGCCGGACGGGAGAGGGAGGGAGUGGGAGGAAUCGGGAGCUUGGGGUUAUCAGAUACAACUUACAAUAGAUUUACAAGGAGAUCCUGCUGAGUAGCAUUGAGAACUAUGUCUAGAUACUCAUAUUGCAACAGAACAAAGGGUGGAAAAAAAAAUGUAUACAUGUAAGAAUAACUUGAUCCCCAUGCUGUACAGCGGGAAAAAUGAAAUAAAAAUUUUUU
rnacentral:lncRNA from 1 species